AUUCGCCCUUAGAGUUUGAUCCUGGCUCAGGACUAACGCUGGCGGCGUGCCUAAUACAUGCAAGUCGAACGGUCGUGCGUUUGUAGCAAUAUGGACGUACGAUAGUGGCGAACGGGUGAGUAACACGUGGAAAACCUACCCUCGAGCGGGGGAUAACUCCGGGAAACUGGGGCUAAUACCGCAUGACAUCCCAACCUGGCAUCGGGAGGGGAUCAAAGCCGAAAGGCACUUGAGGAUGGUUCCGCGGCCUAUCAGCUAGUUGGCGGGGUAACGGCCCACCAAGGCGACGACGGGUAGCCGGCCUGAGAGGGCGAUCGGCCACAAGGGGACUGAGACACGGCCCCUACUCCUACGGGAGGCAGCAGUAGGGAAUUUUGCUCAAUGGGGGAAACCCUGAAGCAGCGACGCCGCGUGGGCGACGAAAUCCUUCGGGAUGUAAAGCCCUUUUAACCGGGGCGAAAUACAUGACGGUACCGGUGGAAUAAGCCUCGGCUAACUCCGCGCCAGCAGCCGCGGUAAGACGGGGGAGGCAAGCGUUGUCCGGAAUCACUGGGUGUAAAGGGCGUGUAGGCGGGCCGGCUAGUCGGUUGUUAAAUCUCUCCGCUCAACGGAGAAGCUGCGGCCGAUACUUCCGGUCUUGAGUGCGGCAGGGGAGGAUGGAAUUCCUGGUGUAGCGGUGAAAUGCGUAGAUAUCAGGAGGAACACCGGUGGCGAAGGCGGUCCUCUGGGCCUGCACUGACGCUGAGUGCGCGAAAGCUGGGGUAGCAAAAGGAAUUAGAUACUCUGGUAGUCCCAGCCCUAAACG
rnacentral:rRNA from 1 species